rnacentral:lncRNA from 1 species
GCUGUGUAAUAUAAGCUGCAUCAUCAUCAUCGCGACAAGAACCGCAUCCACGCCAUUUUUGUUUUUCCUCCACAAGCACUGCACACGUCCGUAAGCGUAAGCCGAGCAAACAUGAGGUAUAUUGCGGUAGCUCUGCUUCUUACUAUCCUCCUCUUCGAUGUUGUCGUUGGCGAUGGAGUGAAGGCACAAGCCCCAGACAAACAUUCCCCAGCGGUGGCCGACAGCCGCGCCCGCCGCGCCGUGCCCCACGCCGGCCUGAUUAACCCGGCCGACCUGGGCAUGCGGCUCAAGAGCCGACGAUCCGAUCCGUUCCGUCGGGCUCCCAGGAUGAAGCGCUACAGGAGAAUGGUCGAGGAUCCGGAGAUGUACAAGCGAGGACUACCAGGAGGGAAACAAAUCCGGGUCAAGAAGGCAUCGAAAGCUUAGGCGAUGUGGCACUAGUUAGAAGUUUGACAGAUCUCAAAGAGGAUAACAAAUUCUGAGCAGGCCCAGUAGCAAUCAACAUUCAUCGGGAAAAAUGAUAACGAUGGCUACGCGUCAGCAAGAAAACAAACGAUUGACCUCGGCCAAGGUUCCGUUUCCAAAUCGUUUAGAUUUUUACUAUGUGUCUCUAAGUGUACUUUUUAGCACAAUUUAAUAGGCAAAUGCUACAUACAUAUAAUUAUUUCAACCAUAAAACGAACGGUCAUUUUUACUUUUAGUUGACAUUCUUUAGUAAAGUUAAAAGUUCGGGCUUCAAAGCAUUAGGACUUUUGUUUAGUAAAAAUAAAACAAUGUGAGCUACUGAUAACAUAUAAAACAAGGCUUAAACUUGCAGAUUGCUCAAUAUAAAACCUGAGAGUAAAAAUGAACAAAAUAGCACUUUGUCUUUCAGGUCCAGUAUUCUGUGUAGACCUUUUUCACAACUGAAAAAAAUGUAUAUAUUAAAGUUUGUAUUACUCUCUACUUGCGAAGUUGUGUUUCCGGUUUUUCGAGAGAGGUGUUUGAUGGUGAGAUUUAACUGGAACGUAAAGUGGUUGCAAAUUAUUCAGGAAAAAAAACAGGAGCACCCUAGUGGCAACUCCAAUGUAAAUCCAUAGUUUCCUACCUCCAUGCCAAGAUCAGUACAACCAUAGACUCAUCAUUGUUGAGGAGUCUUUCAAUUUGUUUGAUCAUUUGUAAAUUCUAAGCAACAAACUACCAGAAAAAGCUACACCCUUAAAUGAGAAUGCAAAGACAGUUGUCUACGCCCUCCUAGUAUACGUUGAAAUUGUGAAGUUCAAAUGUCUGUUGCAGUGUAAAUCUCCCUGGAUAUGCCACUCUCAAUUUCGCGCACUGUGAUUGGUCAACGCGUUACAAACUCUUGGAGGCACACUAUUGUGAAACGCCCGUAUUGUAGAUGUACGCGUCCUGUGACUGCAUGUGUACAACGCAUUAAUGGCACCCUCUUUAUUCACUUUAAUAAACUGUAGGCGUGGUUGUACAACAUAAAUAACUCGUAGAUAUCAUUCUACUAUAACCAAAUUACAUGUUUUUAUCAAAUUAGAUGCAAGUAAAGCACUGCACUGUAAACUAUUUUGGAAUGGAGAGACAAGAACAUCUGGAGCUUCAAGAUCGAACUUGAAACUUCUGCAAAGUUAUAAAAUUUGCAAUCUUUUCUGGCGCAACGAGUUAGUUGCUUAUAUGUACUCCAUAAAUUGCAUAAAAGUAUAAACAUUAUGUAACUAAUACUUCAUGUUCUUUUAUUUUAAAUCUCAAAUGACAAUAAAUGAAAACAGUGAACCAAAUUGAUUGGUAGUAUCACCGACAUCAUACACGUGUUCAUCAGUGGUUUGAAAACAGGCAAAACAACAUUCAAAAUGUGCACAACGAAUAAUCCAUGCAAAUGACAACUGUCAAAACUUGGCAUAUACUUAAAAUCCGAAAUACUUUCACAUGUAUUCAAAAAAGCAUACUGGUAAAUGUCAUGAACUCCAAAACUGAGAUGUAAAAACUGGACAAUUGAAAGUAAUGAAAUAUGGUAAACUCUGUUCAAAAAUAUACCUACUUUUUUAAAACAUUUUAAUUUGAAAUUGAAAUUGUCAAGGUCAUGUGGAACAUGUAAAAUAAGACGAUUGUAAUAUACGACUGUAUUUAAGAAAGUAAACCGAAACACUCAAUUUAGAUAUGAAUUUUCUGAAUUGUAAACAGUAACUUUAAUGUAAUUAUUUUCCGACUCCUUUGUAUAAAUGCAGUCUGAAAUGGGAGCCUAUUAUUUACUGUCCACAAAUGGAUUGAAAGCUUCUAUUCUAUUGUUAUAGCACAUUAAAUUAAGUGACAGUUUCAAUCACUUUCUUUUUCAACCUGA